rnacentral:sRNA from 1 species
AAAAAAUCAUUCACUGUUUUUCCGUUCUAUAAAAUGUACAAUUCUAAUACUGUUGAAAGGCGUGAUAAAGAAAAACAUUUUAUAAGAACUUUUAAACCUAAAUUGAAUAGCUUAAUGUAACAUCUGAGUAUUCUAAAUGUUUUAUUCAUGUUUUAACCGUGUUAUAUAAUCUGUUAUUAUUAGUAUUGUGAUAUCUAAAAAUACGGGAAAAUAUGACGUCAUUCAGAGACUUGAAGACGCCGUUAAACUAUUAUGACGUCAUAACAAACGUUACCAUGUUAGUAUUGUAAAACAUCUGAAGAAAAUGAAAGCGCUUAUGUUUU